rnacentral:rRNA from 1 species
CAGUAGCCGCGGUAAUACGAGGGGGGCAAGCGUUGUUCGGAAUUAUUGGGCGUAAAGGGUGCGUAGGCGGCCCCGCAAGUCUCAUGUGAAAUCUUCAGGCUCAACUUGAAGUCUGCAUGGGAAACUGCGGGGCUGGAGUAUGGGAGAGGUGAGUGGAAUUCCUGGUGUAGCGGUGAAAUGCGUAGAUAUCAGGAGGAACACCUGUGGCGAAAGCGGCUCACUGGACCAUAACUGACGCUGAGGCACGAAAGCUAGGGGAGCAAACAGGAUUAGAUACCCCCGUAGUCCCUGUCUCUUAUAA